AUCGAACGCUGGCGGCGGGCCUAAUACAUGCAAGUCGAGCGGAGCGGCGGACGGGUGAGUAAUGCCUAGGAAUCUGCCUGGUAGUGGGGGAUAACGUCCGGAAACGGGCGCUAAUAACGCAUAAUAUCAGAUGAGUUUAGGUCGUAUUAGCUAGUGGGUGGGGUAAAGGCCUACCAAGGUGACGAUCCGUAACUGGACUGAGAGGAUGAUCAGUCACACUGGAACGGAGACACGGUCCAGACUCCUACGGGAGGCAGCAGUGGGGAAUAUUGGGCAAUGGGCGAAAGCCUGAUCCAGCCAUGCCGCGUGUGUGAAGAAGGUCUUCGGAUUGUAAAGCACUUUUAGUUGGGAGGCGGUACCUACAGAAAAAGCACCGGCUAACUUCGUGCCAGCAGCCGCGGUAAUUC
rnacentral:rRNA from 1 species